UGGGGAAUCUUCCGCAAUGGGCGAAAGCCUGACGGAGCAACGCCGCGUGUGCGAAGAAGGCCUUCGGGUUGUAAAGCACUUUUUGAGAGGAUGAGGAAGGACGGUACUCUCAGAAUAAGUCUCGGCUAACUACGUGCCAGCAGCCGCGGUAACACGUAGGAGGCGAACGUUAUCCGGAUUUACUGGGCGUAAAGCGCGUGUAGGUGGUUUGGUAAGUAGGGCGUGAAAGCUCCUGGCUCAACUGGGAGAGGCCGUUCUAAACUGCCGAACUAGAGGAUGGUAGAGGGAGGUGGAAUUCCGGGUGUAGCGGUGGAAUGCGCAGAUAUCCGGAGGAACACCAGUGGCGAAAGCGGCCUCCUGGACCAUUCCUGACACUCAGACGCGAAAGCUAGGGUAGCAAACGGG
rnacentral:rRNA from 2 species